UACAGGACCGCGCGAGUCCGAGAAACACCCCUGUGGGUGCGGGGGAAAGAAUAGGCUCACCGUGGCCAUCCUACGACAUCGACCAUGGUCGCAAUUGUCUGUAUUGCCGUCCGUCGUCCAUGGUCGCCGUCCUGUCGGGGACGACGGGACCGGCUACUUUCCCCUCUAUUAAGCUUGCAUUUUUUUCUUCUUCUUAGCGGCCAAAGUUUGACUUCUUCUUCUCUCUCUGACCGCCUUCUGUCGACUGUGGCGAGGAGGUAUCGAUUUUUGUCCUCUUUUGCGGGACGGAACUUUCCCACAGUAUUUCUAGGCGGAACUAACUAGUUGCUCGUCACUUAGGGUCAUUUCACACCGAGCCCGUCAAGUCCAGUCCCGUCUAA
rnacentral:lncRNA from 1 species